GGAAGGACUGUAGCUCAAUGGUAGAGCAUCUGCUUAGGAUGCAGAAGGUUCCAUGUGCAAUCUCAGCCAUCUCCA